rnacentral:rRNA from 1 species
ACUUAAAUUGAAGAGUUUGAUCAUGGCUCAGAUUGAACGCUGGCGGCAGGCCUAACACAUGCAAGUCGAGCGGUAGCACAGAGAGCUUGCUCUCGGGUGACGAGCGGCGGACGGGUGAGUAAUGUCUGGGAAACUGCCUGAUGGAGGGGGAUAACUACUGGAAACGGUAGCUAAUACCGCAUAACGUCGCAAGACCAAAGUGGGGGACCUUCGGGCCUCAUGCCAUCAGAUGUGCCCAGAUGGGAUUAGCUAGUAGGUGGGGUAACGGCUCACCUAGGCGACGAUCCCUAGCUGGUCUGAGAGGAUGACCAGCCACACUGGAACUGAGACACGGUCCAGACUCCUACGGGAGGCAGCAGUGGGGAAUAUUGCACAAUGGGCGCAAGCCUGAUGCAGCCAUGCCGCGUGUGUGAAGAAGGCCUUCGGGUUGUAAAGCACUUUCAGCGGGGAGGAAGGCGAUAAGGUUAAUAACCUUGUCGAUUGACGUUACCCGCAGAAGAAGCACCGGCUAACUCCGUGCCAGCAGCCGCGGUAAUACGGAGGGUGCAAGCGUUAAUCGGAAUUACUGGGCGUAAAGCGCACGCAGGCGGUCUGUCAAGUCGGAUGUGAAAUCCCCGGGCUUAACCUGGGAACUGCAUUCGAAACUGGCAGGCUAGAGUCUUGUAGAGGGGGGUAGAAUUCCAGGUGUAGCGGUGAAAUGCGUAGAGAUCUGGAGGAAUACCGGUGGCGAAGGCGGCCCCCUGGACAAAGACUGACGCUCAGGUGCGAAAGCGUGGGGAGCAAACAGGAUUAGAUACCCUGGUAGUCCACGCCGUAAACGAUGUCGAUUUGGAGGUUGUGCCCUUGAGGCGUGGCUUCCGGAGCUAACGCGUUAAAUCGACCGCCUGGGGAGUACGGCCGCAAGGUUAAAACUCAAAUGAAUUGACGGGGGCCCGCACAAGCGGUGGAGCAUGUGGUUUAAUUCGAUGCAACGCGAAGAACCUUACCUGGUCUUGACAUCCACAGAACUUUCCAGAGAUGGAUUGGUGCCUUCGGGAACUGUGAGACAGGUGCUGCAUGGCUGUCGUCAGCUCGUGUUGUGAAAUGUUGGGUUAAGUCCCGCAACGAGCGCAACCCUUAUCCUUUGUUGCCAGCGGUUCGGCCGGGAACUCAAAGGAGACUGCCAGUGAUAAACUGGAGGAAGGUGGGGAUGACGUCAAGUCAUCAUGGCCCUUACGACCAGGGCUACACACGUGCUACAAUGGCAUAUACAAAGAGAAGCGACCUCGCGAGAGCAAGCGGACCUCAUAAAGUAUGUCGUAGUCCGGAUUGGAGUCUGCAACUCGACUCCAUGAAGUCGGAAUCGCUAGUAAUCGUAGAUCAGAAUGCUACGGUGAAUACGUUCCCGGGCCUUGUACACACCGCCCGUCACACCAUUGGAGUGGGUUGCAAAAGAAGUAGGUAGCUUAACCUUCGGGAGGGCGCUUACCACUUUGUGAUUCAUGACUGGGGUGAAGUCGUAACAAGGUAACCGUAGGGGAACCUGCGGUUGGAUCACCUCCUUACCUUAAAGAA